rnacentral:rRNA from 1 species
UACGGGGGGGGCAAGCGUUGUUCGGAAUUACUGGGCGUAAAGGGCGCGUAGGCGGCCUGCUAAGUCACACGUGAAAUCCCUCGGCUCAACCGGGGAACUGCGUGUGAUACUGGCGGGCUUGAAUUCGGGAGAGGGAUGUGGAAUUCCAGGUGUAGCGGUGAAAUGCGUAGAUAUCAAGAGGAACACCAGUGGCGAAGGCGGCUCACUGGUCCGGUACUGACGCUGAGGUGCGAAAGCGUGGGGAGCAAACAGG